UAAAAGUUUUAUUUUGGCUUAAAAAUUUAUUAUUAAUUUGGUUUAUAUGUAAAUUUUUGUAUGAAUUUAAUUUUAUUUUGAUAAUAGAUUAAUUGAUUUAUUCGCAGUAAUUAAUUUUAUUAGUUAAGUAAUUUUAGAAAUAGCAAUAGUUGAUAGUAUUGACAAAAUUUGUGCCAGCAGUCGCGGUUAUACAAAUGAUGCAAAUAAAUUAUUUUAGUUAAAGUUAAUUUUUUUUUAUAGUUGAAGUAUAAUAAAUUUAUUAGGUGAAAUUUUAAAUUUAUUUAGGGGUUUAUUGUAUUUAAUGAUGCUUAUAAAGUUUAUUAGUAAACUAGGAUUAGAUACCCUAUUAUUUAAAUUGUAAAUAUUAAACUUAGGUAGUAAUAGUUAUAAUCUUGAAACUUAAAAAAUUUGGCGGUAUUUUAGUCUAUCCAGAGGAACCUGUUCUAUAAUCGAUAGUCCACGAUGGACCUUACUUAAAUUUGUAACAGCUUAUAUACCGUCGUUAUAAGAGUAUUUUAUGAGGAUGAUAAUAUUCCUAAUUUUUAAAGGAUAGUAUAUCAGAUCAAGGUGUAGUUUAUGUUUAAGUAGAAAUGGGUUACAAUAAAAGUAUUUAUAUGAAUAUAAAAAUGAAAUUAAUUAUUGAAGGUGGAUUUGGUAGUAAAAUAAUAUAGAUAGAUUAUUUGAUUUUUAGCUCUAAAAUAUGUACAUAUCGCCCGUCGCUCUUAUUUGUUAAAGUAAGAUAAGUCGUAACAUAGUAGAUGUACUGGAAAGUGUAUCUAGAAUGC
rnacentral:ncRNA from 1 species